rnacentral:ncRNA from 19 species
UUUCAUAAAAAAGUAACUGGUGCCGGUGCAAAGGUAUGUGCAGAAGAUGUACAGAUGAGCCUUUGUACCGGUUAAAAGGGAAACAGGUGGGAAUCCUGUACGAUCUCGUCACUGUGAUUAGGGAGUGCAGAUACGAAAGCUUUACGCCACUGGCGCGCAUGCGCCGGGAAGGUAAGUAGCUGCAUGAGGAUCUAUCAGCCAGGAAACCUGCCAGUUAUGAUAGUACAGGA